UUCCACAAUAAAAUGGAAGAGCUGCAAUACUAUACAGACAAAUGUGGGAUUGCAUUCACUGUCGGAUGCACUGAGGGACAGAACAGAAAAUUCCCAUUUUCAAUUGUUAGUUCCAAAAGCAUUUGGAAUGGAACCCAGGGCUUCACACAAGCACUCUAUUACUGAGUCACCUUCCGAAUACCUGAACAGGUAUUUAUUGAUUACUUAAAAUGCACUGAUGAGGCUCUGGACUUUGGACUUAUGAGUUGGUGUUGGAAAGAGUUAAGACUCUGCGGCUAUUGAAAUGGAGUGAUGCAUUUUGCAUGUGAGAAGAACUUGAAGGAGCAGAAUGCUAUUGUUUGAAUGCGUCAAUUCAAUUUUAUAUACACUUUAUCCCCAAAACAAAAUAUGCCAAUGAUUUUAAUAAGUCAACAAACUGUAUUCCUCCCUGCUUUUAAUAUAAUGAAUUUGAAGUCAGUUAAACAGCAAAUGUCUACUGUGAAAUGGGAAAUGUUUCUUUUUAAGUGAAGGAAACUUUAGCUCCCUCCCAAUCCCAAUCCCCUUUCCUAGGCCUCCCAGCAAAGGCAAGUCAUCUGAUUAGCCAGUUGCGGGAGGAAAUGGGGUUCCUAUAUUCAGCUCACUGCCUCUUCUGGAGAGCUGGCAGCCUCAAGAAGAGUGUCAGAGCACUGCCUUUGAGGAAAGGGGCCCUAUCUCUUCACAGGAAGUUUGCGGUUUUCCAGUCUUGCCUGUGACAAGAUGGGCAAAUCUGCCUUCUUUUGGAGUUCAGAAUUAGGAAGCUCACAGUCCUACAGAUGUAUGCCAUAUUUUCUAAAAAUGGUUUUUGUAAUGAACAAAGAAGAUCUUUUCUAAUUCUUCAAAUACUCACUUUUUUGUAUUUUUCUCUUAAUUACUUCAGAAUCAGGUGCAGAAGGAGAAGAUUUAUUGGGAGGGUCCCUCAAAUAUGAGCAUGUGUGUGAUUAAUAUUCUUAAACAGUAUAUUAAAAUGAACUAACUUU